GCGCUGCGGUCGGGCGCGCGCGGGCUCGCGGCGCUGUCGACACUGAGAACGUUCUUUUCGGGGCCGGCCCUGCAGGGCCCGGCCCCCGCUAGCUAGAGGAGUCUCUCGGUCGCCGAACUCGAAGUUCCGGAGCUCAGUGUGGAUGCGGGAUUUUGUUCUUCUCCUAUAAAUAGAAAUAACGACCUUCCGGAUGAAUCUAAACCAAUUUUAACCAAGAUUCAAUCUUUGAUACACCUAGAAAACAUAAACUAUGAGAAAAGUUAAA